GACAUUAUCGGGGUGUCAUCCCAGAUUUUUGUGACCCUGCGAAAAUGCCGCCAUCAUGAUGAAAAUGGAAAUGAAAGAUCCUGCCUAUCUAUCUACCUGUGAUUCGCUUCCAGUUCGUGUUCCCUGAUCUGCCGUAUCCUGCUAGGAGCCCCACGGUUAACAUCAUUCCAAAUCAUGCGUCUUCGCAACCCGAGAAAGAAGUCGAUGUCGAUAAUGUCAGUUUUCGAUUCCUAUUGAAGACAGUGGUACGUCAUUUCUAUGCUUUACGUGCUUAAUCUCCGAGUGAAGAAGCAAUAGCUAGAUUGGAUUUACUCAGCCGGAGAUUCCGAGUGUAACUCGGUAUGCAUUAAGCAAGAAAUUUGGUUCCACCGGCAUCCUAUAUGAUCUGGACUUAUGCGUACCGCUCGAAUGAUUCGGAAUACAAGAAAUAGAAAUCGUAAUGUCACACGACGAGCAUCAACAACACGAGGGCAGGUAUUCCAGCAGCAUAAAGAAUUUCGACUGCAUGAAGGGAUCGGACUGUGGUUCAAGACACGGGAGAUUUAUCAGACGCCGGAUCUGCACUUGUGCACGUGCUUUGAACACAAGUUAGUCUGAAGACGAACAACAACAAGAAUUUGCCUUAUGAUGGAUCCAUCCGGCGUAGAUUUCUGUUGUUCUA